GCUCUCUAAGCUUCUGUCAUC
rnacentral:miRNA from 2 species